AUUGAACGCUGGCGGCAGGCUUAACACAUUCAAGUCGAACGAGUGGCGGACGGGUGAGUAAUGUUUGGGAAUCUUCCUUAUGGAGGGGGAUCACUACGGGAAACUGUAGCUAAUACCGCGUACCAUAGGAUGUGCCCAAGUGGGAUUAGGUUGUUGGUGGGGUAAAGGCUCACCAAGCCGACGAUCCCUAGCUGGUCUGAGAGGAUGACAAGGAAAAAGGGGACUGAGACAAGGGACAGACUAGUACGGGAGGAAGGAGGGGGGAAUAGUGCAGAAUGGGGGAAAGCCUGACGCAGACAUGCCGCGUGAAUGAAGAAGGCGGUAGGGUUGUAAAGGACUUUCGGUGGGGAGGCGUUAACAACAGAAGAAGCACCGGCUAACUCAGUGCCAGCAGCCGCGGUAAUAC
rnacentral:rRNA from 1 species